AUGACACCUCCUGCUGCCUUAAGUAGCCACCUCCCCAUCUUCUAUCAAAUCAUCUCCACACCCUCUAAUCUCUUUGAGAACCCAUACAGCACAGCGGACACUUUUCUUAUCUUUCCAAUGGCGGCAGCCACCAUGUCCCUUUCCUCAUCGACCUUCGCCGGCAAGGCGCUGAAGAAUGUACCAUCUUUGGCUGUCUUUGGUGAGGCGAGAGUCACCAUGCGCAAGACCGUAGCAAAGGCGAAGCAGGUUUCUUCCGGCAGCCCAUGGUACGGUGCUGACCGUGUGCUUUACCUCGGCCCACUCUCCGGUGAGCCCCCAAGCUAUCUGACAGGUGAGUUCCCAGGUGACUAUGGGUGGGACACAGCCGGACUUUCAGCUGACCCUGAGACCUUCUCCAAGAACCGGGAGUUGGAGGUGAUCCACUGUCGUUGGGCCAUGCUUGGGGCACUUGGUUGCGUCUUCCCUGAGUUGCUCGCCCGCAAUGGCGUUAAGUUCGGUGAGGCUGUUUGGUUCAAGGCCGGCUCUCAAAUCUUUAGUGAGGGUGGUCUUGACUACCUUGGCAACCCCAGCCUUGUCCACGCACAAAGCAUCCUGGCUAUUUGGGCAUGUCAGGUCGUGCUCAUGGGUGCCGUCGAGGGGUACCGCGUUGCCGGCGGCCCACUCGGUGAGAUCGUCGACCCACUCUACCCAGGCGGCAGCUUCGACCCUCUUGGCUUGGCCGAAGACCCUGAGGCAUUCGCCGAGCUCAAGGUGAAGGAGAUCAAGAACGGUCGCCUUGCCAUGUUCUCAAUGUUUGGCUUCUUUGUCCAAGCUAUCGUCACGGGCAAGGGCCCACUUGAGAACCUCGCUGACCACAUCACCGACCCCGUCAACAACAAUGCAUGGGCAUUCGCCACCAACUUUGUCCCCGGCAAGUAA
rnacentral:rRNA from 1 species